CUUCAUCAACAUCCUUGUCUUCCUCCUCUUCGAUCUCGCUUUGCUACUCUCUGCCCUCCACUCUCAGUUCCAUUCUUGGAGAUCUGAAGCUCUCCAUCUGUGGCCUCUCCCCGUAUCCUCCCUUCUUCUCUUAUUCAGAAGCUCGUCGCCUUCAAAGACCCUACCCCGAUUCUUCCGAUCUCAUCCUCCUCCCCUCUCGACUCCUUUGCCUCCGAUCCCAUCUUCUCCGCCUUCCUCUCGCCGGACUCCGACUACGCCCGCUUCUAAUCUAAGGCCCACAGCUCCGGAUCCACGACGCUUGCGCGAAGUCCCUCCACAAAGCCCAUUAUCGACUACAUUAUCAACGUCCUCGCUGACGAUGAUUUUGACUUUGGCGUCCACAGCGAUGGCGCUUUUGAGUCAUCGGUGACCUCCUUGUUGAUUCCGGCUGCGUUGAAGACUAUGAAGAAGGCCGAUUGGUUUGCAGCAGAAGCCUAAGGAAGCCGUGUAGAGCCUAGCGACACCUCCGCGGAUGUUUGAUGGGAUGGAUGAUGAUGAGGCUGUAAAGGAAAAGGUUAAGUUGUUGGAUGGUCCUGUGCUAACAAAACAUGAUAGAGUGAAGCUCGAGAGAAGAAAGCAGAAAGAGGAGAGACAGAGAGAAGUUCGCUUGUGCCAUACUGAUUUUUUAGUGGUAGCAGUUUAUCUAGAUGGGAGGAUGAUAUGGAAUGCAAAUUUGAUUUUCUUUGGAUGUUUUAGGUGAAAAUUAUGUUUUUUGAUUUAUGCUCUGUAAUGGCUUAUGCUUUUUUAGGGCCAAUAUCAAACGCAUUCGAAGGAGAUGGAAGCUGUUAAAGCAGGAAUACCAGUUGUGUCUGAAAGAUGCUAUUUCCAAAAGGCUUGAAGAGGUGUAUAAAAGGCUCGAAUUCAUUGAUGCAUAUUCAGCAGAGGCACGUCCUGCUUCAAUUCUUGCGGUGAGGUUGAAAAGGAAUACUGGGACUUGCUCCGAGGAAAUCAGGAAAGGUUUAGGGGAAACAAAGGCGGUAGGGGAAGAGGUAGAGGCAAUAAGGGAGGUCGACCAUUUGAUGGCAAGCGUAAUAGGCAUACGGAUUCACCUGCUUCAAGGCCAAGUAAGGUUCCUAAAGUCUAAGUCAUGAUACAACUUUCCGAACUAUGUUUUCCUCCCUGCAUGGUGCACGACAAAUGUUUUUGGCAUUUGUAGUCUGUGUUUGAUGCUUGGCAGUGAAAUCGCCCAAUUUUGAAUUUAGACAAUUUACAUGGGCAAUUUGAUCUUUCUCUUGUUGCAGGACAGGGUUAUGUUAUAUAAUUAAUUAUUAAGCCUUGCUUACCAUGGCUUUUGAGUCUAAAAAUUUAAGAGUGUUUUCUCAUGCCACAUAUUUUUUUUUUUUUUGCAUAAACUUAUGUUAUAUAUGAAAAUUGUAGAGCUUCUAUUAUUGACUUCUAUGUUGUAGAUAAUUAUCAUGUUGUUAACUUAUGUAGAGUGUUUAGAGAAUGCUUGCAUGCUUGUAUAAUUUUCUGGUUUUCACUGAUUGUAUUUGGUUGAAAUAGUAAGAAUACAUCGGUAAAUCCUACAAAUUUACGUUCAAUAUGAACAUUGUAGAGCUCCUAAUAUUGACUUCUAUGUUGUAAAUAAUUAUCAUGUUGUUAACUUACGGAGUGUUUAGAGAAUGCUUGCAUGCUUGUAUAAUUUUCGUGUUUUCGCUGAUUGGAUUUGGUUGAAAUAGUAAGAAUAUAUCAGUAAAUCCUACUUUCACAGGGUAUGAUAAAUAAUUUUUCUGAUAGUUGCUAAUAUUGUUUGAGUAUAUGUGCAUGAUGUUAUUGGAUAGUCCAAAUGCAUUUUUUUUAUUUUCUCAAAAUUUAAUUAGGUAUUAAAUUCACUUUUCAUUUUAAUCAUAUUAACUGAUGAAAAAAAAAGUACUUUCUUUCUUGUGCUUUCUUUCUUCUUGUUUUCUUAUGGAAUAGAAAAGUUUGGUAUGCAUUUGGCACCCAAAAAUAGAUACAAUUUGGAAUUUUUCUUGGUUUUUUCUCAAUGGAAUAACUAAUCUCUUGGCAUCAUAUGUUUGUCUCUAACUAAUUCCUUUUGUUUCUAGUCAAAUUUGAUCUAGAGAAUUUCAUAUUUAUACCACACAAAAAGUGUCUUUUAUUGUUUGGUAGAAUUUUUCCUUUUAUGGCUCAAAAUAUUUUUUUUCCUUCUUUUGGCUGGUUGAAAUUCACACCCAUGGUUGGACCUUGGAGGGUAAAAACCAAUAAUUUCUAAAUUUUAAAAUAUAUAUAAAUUUAGAAAUUAUUUUGAUCAUUGUUGUCGUUAGAUUUCUUUUUGCAUCUUUAUUAUUGUUAACAGAAAUGACUCACAAAACUUCGAAAAUAAUUUAUAUAAAAAAGACUAUCAAAUUUUUACCAUAGUAUUGAUUUAAUACAUAUUUUUGAGUAAAAGUUUUCAAAUAUAAUUAUAAAAGAGCAAGAUUUUAUAGGUUUGGCCUUAAAAUAUAUAUAAAAAGAGGCAGCGUUAGGUAAAAGCAGAAGCUGAAGGCACUAAAGCCCACAAAGCUCUGCAAAUAUUCUUUGCGUCUUAUAAUGGAACACUCUCAUUCUUUAAUCUUUAAAAGCUUUAUCUUUUUUUUUUAAGUUACAUAAAAUGCAUCCUUCUUGCAUUUAAAUUCAUUUACAUUUCCAUUCAUGAAAGAAGCUAUUUUUCCUUUUUUUUAAAAAAAAAGUUAAAAAGCUAACAUUAUUAGAUACAAACGAAACAUAUUUGGAUUCAACUCAACUUAAAUGCUUAUGGUGAUAGAAUAAGAAACUCAACUUUAUUUCAAACUAACCAAUCUUUCGUAUCCAGCUAAUCCUUUAAGGAUAUACACAUUUCCUCGCAUGGGCUGGGUUGAGUUAUCUUAUAAUUUCAGUUUCACUGUUCCUUGUUUAAUUUUCUCUGCAAUGAGGCAAGGUAAGCUGGGUUAGAAAAUCACUGCCACUGAUAGUGGCGAUGCCAUUGAACUCUGUACUACAUGGAUGCUUCUCAUUGUGCUGUUGAUACUUUGUCUGUGUUAUUCCCGAGUAUUAAUUGUUUGUUCUCAAAGAUUGCUCUUUUCAAUUGUUGGUUGUAGCUGUCUUUGUUAUCAUCCCAAAAGUUUAUAGCUAGUUCAUACAAAUGAGAAGAACCUAAUUUAAAAUUUGUGCUGUGUUUCGGGACUUGGAUGCUGUUAAGGCACUUAUCUGAGGCUUAGUCAUUUUUCAAGGAGAGGUUCUGAUGGUGAGCUGUGGGUGGCGUCUGAGGGAAAGGUUAACCCAUAUUCAGGAAUAUUUCAGGAUUAUAAGAAGAUGUUCAAGUAAUAUUCUUGAGCAAUCUCCAUGGUUUCACCUUCACUCUUGCCCAUACAAAGACAUUCUGAAAUUCAUUGCAAUCAUAUAUACUCGAGUUAUUACUAAAAUCUCUCUGUUCACCAUGCUUAUGUUUCAAGAUGGACGACAAGAUUAUACAAACUUGCCAUUCUACUUCAAUGUAAAAUGAACAGAGAUUUUGUUCCAUUAGAUGUUUUGACUAUUAUAUUUUGUAUUGGAUUGUUAUUUUGAAUACUUAUAGAUCGGAAUGUUCAUUUUGCAAUGUAUUAUAAAAGUUAUUGUUGA